rnacentral:sRNA from 1 species
AAAUUUUGUUCAGCAUGAAACAGUCUGAACAGCAAUCCUCGAUUUUGUCAAUAAUCUAAAACGUGCUAUGGAGUAGUCAUUCGUCGGUUUACCUGCGGCUUCCAGAUGAUCUGAAGAUCAGGAAUAUAGAAAAUAUUGUCAAUUUGAUAUUGCUAAUGACCCAGUCAAGUCUGCUGAAGCCCAGAAGUUUCCAGACCAUGACAUUAAUGAAUAUUCCUUGUAUGGAAUGCAUGAGGAUUAGAAUGGGACCUUAUUCUGCCUUUUUACCAACUCACACCAUCUUUUCAAGAUUUAUGGAGCCAACCACAAAAGAAUUUGUUCUAUACACAUAAUUCAUAACAUUCUUAUUUAUGUUGCAUAACUUUAAAUGUUACUGGAUGAAUUGUGUUCACAUAAUGAAUACCAGCAAACUUUUUAUCGAGUGCACUUAAUUCGUAUUUUUCCUACCCAUCCAUCUAACAUAUGUUUUUAUAUAACAUAUUCAUAUACAUGUUACAUAACAUUUUUGGAAACAGCUAUUUUUUUUUAAUUGGAAUUUAGCCUUACUAUUUUAUACAAAUUUUUUUUAAAGGGACUUGGACACGAUUUUAGAUCAAAAUUUUGUUUUCAAUUUCUUUAUGCAUAAAAUUAUUUACUUGCACAUUUUGAAUAAUUGACCAUAAUUUGAAUGUUAGAAGUCAAGUUAUAAGAUAGAUACAGGGGUAAGAAUUUAUUGUUAUGUAAACAAAGCUCGAGUCUUAUGUUUGUUUACAAAUAAUAUAAAGUAUGAAAUUACCAUACUGAUUCGAUGUGAUCAUAAAUGAUAUUAUUAAUAGAAAAAAGCAACAUUUGAAUGAAACUUACACCAAUAAAACACAUAUAAUAACAAGACUCGCGCUUUGUUUACAAAACAAAGAAUAUUUGAUUCUUUAUCUUUCUUUUAACUCAGUAUUUGACUUUCAAAAUUAGUAUUAUGAUUUUUUUAGAAUGAUAUAUGCAAUUUCAUUAAUUUGUUUUUCAUUUUAAGAAAAUUCAUUUUAAAAAAGUUGUGUAGAUUUAUACAUGUACCUACAAGCAAUAUACAUUUAAUAUUCACCAGGUACAUGUACCAGCCUACUAUAUAAUAAAUGUACUUCUUUCAUGCCUUUUUCAUGCCUUUUACUCAUUGUUAUAUGUAUUAUUUAUAAUUAAAAUACUUUGAAAACUU